rnacentral:rRNA from 1 species
UGGGGAAUAUUGGACAAUGGGGGCAACCCUGAUCCAGCCAUGCCGCGUGAGUGAUGAAGGCCCUAGGGUUGUAAAGCUCUUUCAACGGUGAAGAUAAUGACGGUAGCCGUAGAAGAAGCCCCGGCUAACUUCGUGCCAGCAGCCGCGGUAAUACGAAGGGGGCAAGCGUUGUUCGGAAUUACUGGGCGUAAAGCGCACGUAGGCGGACAUUUAAGUCAGAGGUGAAAUCCCAGGGCUCAACCCUGGAACUGCCUUUGAUACUGGGUGUCUUGAGUUCGAGAGAGGUGAGUGGAAUUCCGAGUGUAGAGGUGAAAUUCGUAGAUAUUCGGAGGAACACCAGUGGCGAAGGCGGCUCACUGGCUCGAAACUGACGCUGAGGUGCGAAAGCGUGGGGAGCAAACAGGAUUAGAUACCCCCGUAGUCC